GACGUAGGGCGCGAGCGUUGUCCGGAUUUAUUGGGCGUAAAGAGCUCGUAGGCGGCUUGUUGCGUCAGCUGUGAAAACCCGAGGCUCAACCUCGGGCCUGCAGUGGGUACGGGCAGACUAGAGUGCGGUAGGGGAGAUUGGAAUUCCUGGUGUAGCGGUGGAAUGCGCAGAUAUCAGGAGGAACACCAAUGGCGAAGGCAGAUCUCUGGGCCGUAACUGACGCUGAGACGCGAAAGCGUGGGGAGCAAACAGG
rnacentral:rRNA from 1 species